GUUCUGAACAUAUUUUUCUUUCCCAUGAGCCUUUGCAUCGCUUCAGCCCAGAACAGUUCAAAUGACCCCACCCCUCCCAUACAGAGACAUAACAUCCUUAGUUAUCUCUGCCUACUGUAAUAUGAUGUGUGC